CGUUCUUACUGCUUUUGCUUUGUUUUCCUUCCCCAUUUACAAGAACCAUUAACAUCGUCGUGAUUAUCGCCGUGAAUUCAAAUUCUAGGGUUUCUUUUUGUCUCGAAAAGCAUAAACCCUAGUGACCAUUAACUUACAUUUUUGAACGUUUCUUACUUCUCACAGCCAUUCUUGCUAACAUUUCUGUGUAAUGGCUGGAACCCUAGAUUCUGGCCCUAAAACAACUCUGGAUAGAGUUGAAACCCUAGAGUUCAACUCCAAUGUGGGCUCAGUAGCUUCGGAGAAUGAGGGGGAGAAGAACAGUUCAAGAGCGGAGAUUGACACUUCGCUGCCGUUUGAGUCGGUGAAGGAAGCUGUUAAUCUUUUCGGUGGUAGCGGUGUUUGGAAACCUCAUCAUAAGGUCAUGGAAGCCGAGCAUGGACUUGUGGAGAUUGACAUAGCAAAAGUGGAGGAACAAACUGAACACUUGGGGAAGGACUUGAUCGUGAAGGAGCGGGAAACACUUGACGUCCUAAAAGAACUUGAGGCAACAAAGAGGGUUGUGGAGGAUUUAAAAUUGCAACUUCAGAAAGAAGCAUCUGAAGGGACUGCAAUCGUGCAAACAGAUUCAGAUGUGACGAAGACAAGUCCUCCUGUUGAAGAAAAGGAAAAGCAAAUUCAAGCAAGUACAUUUGAGACUGAUCAUAACUCAAUGGUUGGUUUGAGUCUGUGCCCCACUUCAUCUCCAGGCCUGAUAUUAAUGGAAUUGAAGCAGGCAAAGAUGAAUCUUAAUAGAACGACAAAUGAUAUUGCUGAGAUACGAGGUUCUGUUGAAUCACUAAACAAAAAACUGGAAAAGGAGAGACACUCAUUAGAGAAGACCCGUGAGAGGCUAACUUCUAAUUCUUUUAGAAUUUCAUCUCUAGAGGAGGAGCUAAACCAAACGAAACUGAAACUACAGCAGGCCACAAAUGCUGAAAUCAAAGGUCUUUCUGAGAAUCCUACAGAUAUUUCAAGGGAGGUUCAACAAUUGAGUUUGGAGGCUGAACAGUUUAAGAAAAUGGCUGCAGCUGCAAAAUCUGAAGUAAUGAGGGCAAUGUCAGAGAUUGAGCAGACCAAAACAAGCAUUAGGACUGCUGAGAUCAGGUGGAUUGCAGCCAAAAAGAUGGAGGAAGCAGCUAGAGCAGCUGAAGCUGUUGCUCUGGCAGAGAUAAAAGCCCUAUCAAACAGUGAGAGCUCGUCUGGGGUUUCCCUUCAGAAGUCUGAACUAAUAACUAUUUCUUUUGAAGAAUACUCAUCUCUAACCCAGAAAAUGCGAGAAGCUGAGGAGCAUUCAAGGAGGAAGGUUGUAGAUGCCAUGAAUCAAAUUGAUGAAGCAAAUAUAUCAAAGAUGGAAAUAUUAAAGAAGGUUGAAGAAGCAACAGAAGAAGUUAGAAUGAGUAAAAGGGCUUUAGAAAAGGCUCUAAACAGAGUAGAGGCUGCAAAUAAAGGGAAGCUUGCUGUUGAAGAUGCUCUCCGGAAAUGGAGAUCAGAGAAUGGUCAAAAGAGGCGCUCGGUGCAUAACUCUACGAAAUUCAAGAAUUCUUGCUCAUCUGUCCAUCGGAGAGAUUCUCGGCUGCUUGAUGUCAAUGGCCUGAAUCUGGUUAGUGAUGGAUCGAAGCCCGUCUUGAAGCCAACCCUCUCAAUAGGGCAAAUAUUGAGUAGAAAGUUGCUUCUGCGAGAAGAGUUAGAGAUGGGGCAGGCAGAAGUCAUAACUGAGAAACCAAAAGUGUCACUGGGUCAGAUGCUUGGUAAAAGUAAUGGGGUUCUUUCUCCUCCUCAGAAGAUUGAGAAGGAUGGAUGUGGUCACAAACAGUUCUCAGCAAAGCGGAAGAAGUCUAGCUUUGCACGAUUCUCCCUCCUCCUGACAAAGAAAAGUAAGAAGAAGAAGCAGCGAAACUCCUACUCCGAAGUGAUGUGAUGGUGAAUACAUUUACUUCUUGUUGCCAACUCUUCUUUCUUUUUUUGUCUUUUUUUUUCAGUCUCUUCCUGUUCUGAAUUGUGUCUGCUUGUUUUUACUUGUUUGUAUUUCACAUCUUAUUAGUUAUGGAUCUUGGUUUGUAAGGAUGUUUAUGAUACUGUUAAUUCGGCUGUGAGGCCUUAAACAGAGUUCUGAUGUAUAAAUAUAUAGUUCUCAAGAUUGUUUUCAAGAA